rnacentral:rRNA from 1 species
UACGUAGGUGGCGAGCGUUGUCCGGAUUUAUUGGGCGUAAAGAGCGUGUAGGCGGUUCGGUAAGUCUGUCGUGAAAUCCUGAGGCUCAACCUCGGGCGUGCGAUGGAUACUGCCGGGCUAGAGGGUGGUAGAGGCGGAGUGGAAUUCCCAGUGUAGAGGUGAAAUUCGUAGAUAUUCGGAAGAACACCAGUGGCGAAGGCGACUUACUGGACGAUUGUUGACGCUGAGGCGCGAAAGCG